GCAGGCUGGAACUCGCCUGCAUGAAGUUGGAUUCGCUAGUAAUCGCGCAUCAGCCAUGGCGCGGUGAAUACGUUCCCGGGCCUUGUACACACCGCCCGUCAAGCCAUGAAAGUCGGGGGGUGCUUGAAGUACGCUUACCGCAAGGGGCGUCCUAAGGCAAAACCGAUAAUUGGGGCUAAGUCGUAACAAGGUAGC
rnacentral:rRNA from 1 species